rnacentral:misc_RNA from 1 species
AAGUCGUAACAAGGUUUCCGUAGGUGAACCUGCGGAAGGAUCAUUAGAGAACUCUGAGGAGGGGAGAGGCUGUCGCCGCGGAGGCGUCCCAGAAGGGGCGUCGAAGCGUUGCACGCCCCCCCGACCUUCAAAUCCCACACACACUUGUGCACUAUAGGUCUCGCGCCCUCCAUGAGGAGCCGCCUCGCGUGAGCGGGGCCGGGGUCGAGCGCCUCUCCAUACUACAACCAGUAAACGCAUGUCUAAUUCGCCCCGGCGAAGCAUUAAUACAACUUUCAACAACGGAUCUCUUGGCUUUC